AAAUGUGAUAUUUUUGUAGCAUACACACACCACACACUCACAAACAAGUUCGACACAUCCUCAAAAUUUUUGAUUUUUCAACAACAAAAAAAUAAAAUAAAAUAAAACAUACA
rnacentral:rRNA from 12 species